GGAAGAUACCGCUCGAAUAAGCUCGGUGGUGGUGCUGUCAAUUUCAACAAUGUAUAAAUUCACAACUGGCUACUCACUCAAAUCUAACCAACAUGAGGCUUAAUUGUACAAUUCUUGAAAAUACUUCGCACUUUUCUGGAAAAGAACACUUUUCAGUACAUGGAAAUUUCUUGAACUUAAAGAACACCAAAAAAUGGAUUAUUAAUUGCAGAAUUCAGCUCAGACCCAGCAGAAUUCAGCACUGCCGUCUCAACCUUGUCCCUUGGCAAGAAAAGGAACUCAUCCCCUUCAAUUUUCUCAAAACCGCAUAGCUCCAGAAACUCGACGCCCCCUUUCAAUGAACCAACUCUAUCCUGAAA
rnacentral:misc_RNA from 1 species